rnacentral:tRNA from 1 species
AAAGAUUUAGUUAAAAAUAAAAUAAUAUUAAUUUGUCAGAUUAAAGUUAGACUUAUAAAAAAAUCUAAUCUUUA